GUUUGAUCCUGGCUCACGAUGAACGCUAGCGGCAGGCCUAAUACAUGCAAGUCGAACGGUGUCUUCGGACAUAGUGGCGCACGGGUGCGUAACACGUAUGCAACCUACCUUACAUUGGGGGAUAGCCUUUCGAAAGGGAGAUUAAUACCGCAUAAGACAGUAGCUGGGCAUCCAGCAGCUGUUAAAGAUUUAUCGAUGUAAGAUGGGCAUGCGACCAAUUAGUUAGUUGGCGAGGUAACGGCUCACCAAGACUAUGAUUGGUAGGGGAACUGAGAGGUCAAUCCCCCACACUGGCACUGAGAUACGGGCCAGACUCCUACGGGAGGCAGCAGUAGGGAAUAUUGGGCAAUGGACGCAAGUCUGACCCAGCCAUGCCGCGUGCAGGAUGAAGGCGUUAUGCGUCGUAAACUGCUUUUAUACAGGAAGAAACGACUCUUGCGAGAGGCAUUGACGGUACUGUAUGAAUAAGCACCGGCUAACUCCGUGCCAGCAGCCGCGGUAAUACGGAGGGUGCAAGCGUUGUCCGGAUUUAUUGGGUUUAAAGGGUGCGCAGGUGGUUUAUUAAGUCAGUGGUGAAAGACGGUCGCUCAACGAUUGCAGUGCCAUUGAAACUAGUAGACUUGAGUAAAGUAGAGGUGGGCGGAAUUGAUAGUGUAGCGGUGAAAUGCAUAGAUAUUAUCAAGAACUCCAAUUGCGUAGGCAGCUCACUUGGCUUUUACUGACACUCAUGCACCAAAGUGUGGGUAUCAAACAGGAUUAGAUACCCUGGUAGUCCACACUGUAAACGAUGAUAACUAGGUGUCGGCCGAAUCUGGUCGGUGCCACAGCGAAAGCGUUAAGUUAUCCACCUGGGGAGUACGCCGGCAACGGUGAAACUCAAGGAUUGACGGGGUCCGCACAAGCGGUGGAGCAUGUGGUUUAAU
rnacentral:rRNA from 1 species